CAGAAUAGGUGGUCCUUGCUUGCAGAACCUUGCUUACAGGUGCUGCACGGCUGUCGUCAGCUCGUGUCGUGAGAUAAGGGGACAAGUCCCGCAACGAGCGAACCCUCGUCCUUAGUUGCUAACAGUUCGGCUGAGAACUCUAAGGAGACUGCCUACGCAAGUAGGAGGAAGGUGAGGAUGACGUCAAGUCAUCAUGGCCCUUACGUCCAGGGCUACACACGUGCUACAAUGGGGUAUACAAAGAGCAGCAAUACGGUGACGUGGAGCAAAUCUCAAAAAUGCCUCCCAGUUCGGAUUGUAGUCUGCAACUCGACUACAUGAAGUUGGAAUCGCUAGUAAUCGUAGAUCAGCUAUGCUACGGUGAAUACGA
rnacentral:rRNA from 1 species